CACACCAACAAGUUCAGCUAACUCUCUUAAUCUUACUUCAGCUUUGGAGACACUAAGCCUAGAUGGUUACUUUACUUUUAAAAACAACCAUCAUGCAGCAAAGGACUUUGGCAACACAUUUCAAUCCCUCCCAUUAGCAGUCCUGCAUCCAAAAUCAGUUUCUGAUAUCUCCUCCACAAUAAAACUUAUAUUUGAACUGGGUUCUGCUUCAGAGCUUACAGUUGCUGCCAGAGGCCAUGGCCACUCUCUUCAAGGUCAAGCUCAAACCCAUGGAGGUCUGGUCAUCAACAUGGAGUCACUCAAGGCACAACAAAUGCAGGUUCACAUUGGAGAGCAGCCUUAUGUGGAUGUUUCAGGUGGUGAGCUGUGGAUAAAUAUUCUGCAUGAGACUCUUAAAUAUGGGUUGUCACCAAAAUCUUGGACUGAUUACCUUCACCUCACCGUCGGCGGGACUUUAUCAUACGCCGGGAUCAGCGGUCAGGCUUUCCGGCACGGGCCACAAAUCAAUAACGUCUACCAGCUGGAGGUUGUCACAGGUAUGUUCACACAGUACAGAGUUGCUUCAAAUUGCAGAGGAACUACAAAAACACAUAGCACUCAUCAUAUCAGAAAAAGACAAGGGUAUUUUGGUGAUCUACCUACUCUUUUUUUAAGUAAAAAAAAAAUUCAUACAAAAGAUAUUGGGGGAGGGGGUUUUUCUCACACAUACUGAGAAAGUGCCAUGGAGAUUUGAACCCGAGACCACUAGUCUGCAAGUCAAGACUCUUUCCACUGGGUUUGGCCCGGUUGGCCUUUGCUUUUUCUUCUGGCACUAAAAUACUCCUUCAUACAUCAUAAAAUAUGUUGAUUUUAUAUAAUCUUUACUCAUUUGAAACAAUUUCAAUUAGCUAUGCGACAAAAAGGCGUCAGUAAUAUAAAUUUUGAAGUUGUGUUGCAGGACAAGGAGAAGUAAUUACCUGUUCAGAGAACAAAAGUCCAGACCUUUUUUAUGGUGUCCUUGGAGGGCUUGGACAGUUUGGCAUCAUCACACAGGCCAGAAUUUCUC
rnacentral:lncRNA from 1 species